UACGGAAGGCAGCAGUGGGGAAUAUUGCACAAUGGGCGCAAGCCUGAUGCAGCCAUGCCGCGUGUAUGAAGAAGGCCUUCGGGUUGUAAAGUACUUUCAGUCGUGAGGAAGGUGUUAAGGUUAAUAACCUUAGCAAUUGACGUUAGCGACAGAAGAAGCACCGGCUAACUCCGUGCCAGCAGCCGCGGUAAUACGGAGGGUGCGAGCGUUAAUCGGAAUUACUGGGCGUAAAGGGCACGCAGGCGGUUAAUUAAGUUGGAUGUGAAAUCCUCGGGCUUAACCUGGGAAUGGCAUUCAAGACUGGUUAGCUAGAGUCUUGUAGAGGGGGUAGAAUUCCAUGUGUAGCGGUGAAAUGCGUAGAGAUGUGGAGGAAUACCGGUGGCGAAGGCGGCCCCUGGGACAAGACUGACGCUCAUGUGCGAAAGCGUGGGGAGCAACAGGAUUAGAUACC
rnacentral:rRNA from 1 species